rnacentral:rRNA from 1 species
GAUGAACGCUGGCGGCGUGCCUAAUACAUGCAAGUCGAGCGAACGGACGAGAAGCUUGCUUCUCUGAUGUUAGCGGCGGACGGGUGAGUAACACGUGGAUAACCUACCUAUAAGACUGGGAUAACUUCGGGAAACCGUAGCUAAUACCGGAUAAUAUUUUGAACCGCAUGGUUCAAAAGUGAAAGACGGUCUUGCUGUCACUUAUAGAUGGAUCCGCGCUGCAUUAGCUAGUUGGUAAGGUACCGGCUUACCAAGGCAACGAUGCAUAGCCGACCUGAGAGGGUGAUCGGCCACACUGGAACUGAGACACGGUCCAGACUCCUACGGGAGGCAGCAGUAGGGAAUCUUCCGCAAAGGGCGAAAGCCUGACGGAGCAACGCCGCGUGAGUGAUGAAGGUCUUCGGAUCGUAAAGCUCUGUUAUUAGGGAAGAACAUAAGUAUAAGUAACUGUGCACAUCUUGACGGUACCUAAUCAAAAAGCAACGGCUAACUACGUG